rnacentral:rRNA from 1 species
GAUGAACGCUGGCGGCGUGCCUAAUACAUGCGAGUCGAGCGAACGGACGAGAAGCUUGCUUCUCUGAUGUUAGCGGCGGACGGGUGAGUAACACGUGGAUAACCUACCUAUAAGACUGGGAUAACUUCGGGAAACCGGAGCUAAUACCGGAUAAUAUUUUGAACCGCAUGGUUCAAAAGUGAAAGACGGUCUUGCUGUCACUUAUAGAUGGAUCCGCGCUGCAUUAGCUAGUUGGUAAGGUAACGGCUUACCAAGGCAACGAUGCAUAGCCGACCUGAGAGGGUGAUCGGCCACACUGGAACUGGGACACGGUCCAGACUCCUACGGGAGGCAGCAGUAGGGAAUCUUCCGCAAUGGGCGAAAGCCUGACGGAGCAACGCCGCGUGAGUGAUGAAGGUCUUCGGAUCGUAAAACUCUGUUAUUAGGGAAGAACAUAUGUGUAAGUAACUGUGCACAUCUUGACGGUACCUAAUCAGAAAGCCACGGCUAACUACGUG